rfam:Mus musculus chromosome 13, GRC primary reference assembly.
AACCCUUGGCAAUAGGCAAAUAAACCCCUUGGUGGUGGUGUUAUUCUUAGGUCAGGGGCAGAGCAGAUGGCAGUCCUUUGUUCAUCCUAGCUUGAUGCCUGGCUUAGUAGCCAAAGCUGUCUUAUGCCUAGGACUCAUAA